UACGAGGGGGGCGAGCGUUGUUCGGAAUUAUUGGGCGUAAAGGGUGCGUAGGCGGCCUGACAAGUCUGAUGUGAAAUCCCUGGGCUCAACCCAGGGCCUGCAUCGGAAACUGUCGGGCUUGAGUAUGGGAGAGGUGAGUGGAAUUUCCGGUGUAGCGGUGAAAUGCGUAGAUAUCGGAAGGAACACCUGUGGCGAAAGCGGCUCACUGGACCAUUACUGACGCUGAGGCGCGAAAGCGUGGGGAGCGAACCGG
rnacentral:rRNA from 1 species